rnacentral:lncRNA from 10 species
UAGUUAAUAGGGAGUCUAGCUUCAAACCCACAUCUGACUGAAUCUAAUUCCACCUACAGCUUUGAAGGCUCAGAAAACAUAACUGCUUGAAAAACUGAGUUAACUCUAUGACUGCCAGGACAAAAGCUUAGGAUUUAGAAAUGAAACAAUGAAUAAGUAGACAUUUUGCUCUCAUUUUGUUAUUUUUUACUUUAUUUUCCAAAUAUGUUUAGGUUAAAGAAAAGAACAUGGGAUUUAGAGUCAAAUAGGCAGGUGUUUUGAUUCUACCCUUGCUAACCCUGUGACCUUUGGACAGCCUACGUUGUCCAGUGGAGGCAGCCUUCCCAUUCCAACGGACAUUUGUGGGAUAUUAGAGACCAAGAAGUGUUAAGAGAUGAUCUUCACAAAAUGCUGAGCUUGUGUGGGUGUCGAACUACAAACAGGAGGAGAUGGAUAUUCACAUGCAGUGGUGGAGGGUUAUGGCUCUCCAGCCUGGAGGAUUGGAGCUUGAGCCAGGUGAACAGUGGGUCCAUUAAAGGGGCAGCUCAGUUCAGCAAGUCAGAGCCUGAACAGGAUGAAAGGGGCAACCCACAAAGAUGAGGACUGAAUUGGAGUUACAGAUCCCAGUUGGUUGGAGAGACCAUUUUCCUGGAGGAUGACCCAGUUUGGGAGUCACAGCCAGAGCUGGGAUAAAAGAUAAUCCACACUCUUUUGGAUAUAAUAUGUAUUAUAAUUUCUUUUUUCUCUCAAGUAGUUUAAAAGUUUUACACUGUUUUCAUUAGUCACUAAUAGAAACAUAUACAAUAGUUUUCUGCAUUCCAUCAAGCUUAAUAUUAACAGAUAUGUUUACCCAUCUCCUGAACAUUACAAAUAUCUUAGAAUAUUAACCUCUCUUAGGAUUAGUUCUAUUCAAAUGCAUGGAUUACUUUGCUGUGUAAUUCCAAGACUCCAUGAUAUUGAUAAUACUCUAUAAUAAAGUUAAAUUUUCUCAGAUUUAUCCACAUAUUUACCACUUUCUUUGAUCUUUAGACUAAAGCAAUUUUAAAUACCAGGCUUACUUUUCUUUAUUCUAAGCUGGAAAUGCAUUUUUUUUGUAGAUUUUCAGUAAUCCCUUGUUAUAUCAUUAACUCUUUGAUCCGUUUUAACAUGCAGUUUUCAUCCAUCCUUUUUUUGUUGUUAUCUUUGAGAGAAUUGAUCAUAGUGACUAAGCUGCAAUACUAAAUUAGAGGAGUUUUAAAUCUUAAUAUAACUUUGGCAUAGUAAAAUAAUUUAAACAAUAAAAUGAGUUCAUAUUGUAAAAAAAAAAAAAAAAA